rnacentral:rRNA from 1 species
UAGGGAAUCUUCCGCAAUGGGCGAAAGCCUGACGGAGCAACGCCGCGUGAGUGAUGAAGGUCUUCGGAUCGUAAAACUCUGUUAUUAGGGAAGAACAAAUGUGUAAGUAACUAUGCACGUCUUGACGGUACCUAAUCAGAAAGCCACGGCUAACUACGUGCCAGCAGCCGCGGUAAUACGUAGGUGGCAAGCGUUAUCCGGAAUUAUUGGGCGUAAAGCGCGCGUAGGCGGUUUUUUAAGUCUGAUGUGAAAGCCCACGGCUCAACCGUGGAGGGUCAUUGGAAACUGGAAAACUUGAGUGCAGAAGAGGAAAGUGGAAUUCCAUGUGUAGCGGUGAAAUGCGCAGAGAUAUGGAGGAACACCAGUGGCGAAGGCGACUUACUGGUCUGUAACUGACGCUGAUGUGCGAAAGCGGGGGGAUCAAACAGG